AAACUCAAAGGAAUUGACGGGGGCCCGCACAAGCGGUGGAGUAUGUGGUUUAAUUCGACGCAACGCGAAGAACCUUACCAGGGCUUGACAUUGAGUGAAAGACUAAGAGAUUAGUUCCUAUCUUCGGAUACACGAAAACAGGUGGUGCAUGGCUGUCGUCAGCUCGUGUCGUGAGAUGUUGGGUUAAGUCCCGCAACGAGCGCAACCCUUAUCCUUUGUUGCCAGCACGUAAAGGUGGGAACUCAAGGGAGACUGCCGUCGACAAGACGGAGGAAGGCGGGGAUGACGUCAAGUCAUCAUGCCCCUUAUGUCCUGGGCUACACACGUACUACAAUGGGCUUAAACAAAGCGAAGCAAGACCGCGAGGUCAAGCAAAACGCAUAAACAAGCUCUCAGUUCGGAUCGGAGGCUGCAACUCGCCUCCGUGAAGUCGGAAUCGCUAGUAAUCGCAGGUCAGCAUACUGCGGUGAAUACGUUCCCGGGCCUUGUACACACCGCCCGUCACACCACGAAAGUUGACAACACCCGAAGCCGGUGGGGUAACCAGCAAUGGAACUAGCCGUCUAAGGUGGGGCCGAUGAUUGGGGUGAAGUCGUAACAAGGUAGCCGUAUCGGAAGGUGCGGCUGGAUCACCUCCUUUAUG
rnacentral:rRNA from 1 species